rnacentral:sRNA from 1 species
UUUUUUGUUUGUUUUUCUAUUCCAACCGA